GAUUUCUGGUUCGGCGCACUUGACCCGUCGUGGUUUACACGAUUGUUGUGUCGGUGUGCGCCAUCCAUCCUUCGAGUGAAAUACUUCUACUCUUCACUGGGUUGGGAGUAUAUGUAACUCGAUCUUUUACUUUGAAAAAAUUAGAGUGUUUAAAGCAGGCUUACGCUAUGAAUACAUUAGCAUGGAAUAAUAAUUUAGGACUUUGGUCUUAUUUUGUUGGUUUCUAGGACUAAAGUAAUGAUUGAUAGGGACAGUUGGGGGUGCUAGUAUUCAGCGGCCAGAGGUGAAAUUCUUGGAUUCGCUGAAGACUAACUUAUGCGAAAGCAUU
rnacentral:rRNA from 3 species